UUACAAGACAAUAAUGGAACUCACAACAAGCUACAUGCAUUAAUUGUCACAGAGGCAGCACCAAAAAAUUAAAGAAAAUCUGGGUUUCAGAUACUCCUUACUUUGUAUAGGCAUACAACAUUUACCAAAACCUUUCAAAUUCCAUUACAGAAUGUUGUAGCUACGGUCUCUUCAAGGUUUCAAAUACAGAUAUAAAAAUACUGGCAUGCAAGCGAAAAUCUGGAAUGAGAUACUCCAAGAUUCAUCAUCAAUGAAAUUUAAGAA
rnacentral:misc_RNA from 1 species